ACUAGAAUAUACAACUAAGUACUGGGGGGCUUUGGGGAGAAGAAGAAAAAGGAAAAAAUUCAAAAUCAAACACGCCUCCAUCCUUGAGCUUAAGAAAGUUAUUGCAAAAGAAAUAAAAGGAUGCCAACUCUCACUCUCGUUGGCACCUGUGGCUCCCGUUACAUUUGUGUUGGACAGCACUGGCCUGGAAUAUAAUACACCCUUUCUCGAAUAUUGGUAUCCCCAUUUUACCGAUGAACAAACCAGCUCAGAGGUUGAGUGGCUUGACCAGGGACACGAGCUAAUGACCUGCAGAAGCCAGAAUUCACAUCACGAGAGGCCAGUGAUCCUGGUGGGACAGUCUACUCCUCGAUGAAAGUCCUAAAACAAGGGAUGUGCUGUUGUUUUGACAAGAUCUUAUGCCGACGUGUUUAGUCCCAGGAAGGACUGAAGCCACUUUGGAAUCUGGGGAAAACAAAAUAAAAGCCUGUGACUCAGGGCUUAGGGGGACCUCCUGACACUAGCCAAGAAUGUCAAGGCGCAGGAUAAUUCUUAGUGCGCAGUGCUUGGGCAGGCUUUUCGAUUCUCUGUGUGGACUUGGGCCAGUCCCUUCCCCUCUCUGGGACUCAGCUUCUCCAUCUGUGAACAGAGGGACCGGAUUAACUGUUCUCUGAGGUCCAUCAGGAUCCAUGGUGCAUCUCAGCAGAUCCCUCCCUCCCUGUGGUUGAGAGUGAGUUUGAGAGCCACUUGCUGGGUCCUGGGGCAAGUGACAGUUCUCUUGUGUCCUCUGUGAGAUGGGGAUGAGGACAGUGUGGACUUCAGAGAGCUUCUCUGAGGAUUAAUGAGCUAGUUCAGGUGAUGCUCUCAGCACUUGCCUGGCACACAGGAAGUGCCCAGUAAAUGCUUGCUCUUGUCGUCAGCGCAGCAGAAACCAAGUUGACCUGCUGGCUUAGAGAGUUCUCGGUCAGCAGACUCAGAUUCACGAGCAGCAUCUGCCUUGGAGCCUCCCCUUAGCCUGACGCACUCAAAUGCCGAAUUUGAUCCAAGUUCUGAAGGCUGAAAGUCCAAGAUCAAGAUGCCAGACGAUUCAGUUUCUUGUGAGGACCCACGUCCUGGCUUGUAAAGGGCCGACUUCUUGCUGUGCUCACGUGGCUGCUCCUCAGAGAUGCUGUUCCAGAGAGGAAGCCGGGGCUGCAGUGCCAUGAUGCUAAGACAUCUGGAAAAUGCUCUCGAAAACACAAGCCACUCUGGUCGUAUCAGAAUAUGUAUCGCUGAAAAAAGCUGAAGAUGAGAGGCAGGGCCACUAAAAGACCCUCAGGAAGGUCCUGGAGCUGAACUGACACAGACCCUCUCAGGGAGACAGAUAGGGACCGUGCUAGCCACCCACUUCUGGAGGCUUCCGAGAUUGCUGCUGCAAUAACUUUAUCAUCAAGACCAUGUGCAUUUCAAGUCACAAAGCCAGAAGUAGGCAUGUGACACAGUUCUUGCCAAGGAGACACCAGCUGGAAUCCCCGGUAAUGCUCCCAGGAAAGAUUUUUAAAGGGACUAGACUGAAUAGGCAUAUGCCUGUCUACUCUUCUCCCCUUCCUCCUUUCUUUCUUGUUUAGAAUGUGAGUGUGAUGUUUGGAGCUUCAGCAGCCAUAUUUUGACCACGAGCCAAAUUUGAGGAUGACAGCCAUGCACUCAGAAUGAUGGACUAGAAAAAUAAAAAGAGCCUGGACCUCUUCUCCAAGACAAUGCUGUGGAGCUGCCAUACCAGCUCUGGAGUGCCUGC